rnacentral:rRNA from 1 species
GAGACUCUGUGCGCGUGCAUAUCAAUAAGCGGAGGAAAAGAAACUAACAAGGAUUCCCUUAGUAACGGCGAGUGAAGCGGGAAGAGCUCAAAUUUGAAAUCUUCAAGGUUCUACCUUGACGAAUUGUAGUUUAAAGAAGUGUUUUCUGUUAGAUGAGUAGCAAAAGUUCCUUGGAAUGGGACAUCAUAGAGGGUGAGAAUCCCGUAUUUGGUUAUUCAUUCUAGCUUUGUGAUACACUUUCAAAGAGUCGGAUUGUUUGGGAAUGCAGUCCAAAAUGGGUGGUAAAUUUCAUCUAAAGCUAAAUAUUGGCGAGAGACCGAUAGCGAACAAGUACCGUGAGGGAAAGAUGAAAAGAACUUUGAAAAGAGAGUUAAACAGUACGUGAAAUUGUCAAAAGGGAAGCGUUUGACACCAGUGUUGUUUUUCCGAAAAUCAAUUACGAAUGGCUUGAUUUUGUGUUGUAUUGACCUUAUCAGCUUUCUGCACUUUUUUCGAGUCUUUCUUAAUGCACUUUUCGGUUAACAAGUCAACAUCAAUUUCUUUUGUUGUAAAAGAGUAUUCGGAAGGUGGCUUUCUUUUCGGAGAAAGUGUUUAUAGCCCUAUACUUCUACAAUCGGAGAGAUUGAGGUCUGCAGCGUAGAUCCUUCGGGGUUAGAUAUACUUUGUGCUAAGUUGUAGCUUUUCAUAGACAACUUGUUGACUAUGUUUAGUCAUGCGGCUUACUCGCUUAUGCUAUUUUACCUACGCUUAGGAUGUUGACUGAUAUGUAGUCGUA